rnacentral:rRNA from 1 species
UACGGGGGGUGCGAGCGUUGUCCGGAAUCACUGGGCGUAAAGGGCGCGUAGGUGGCGUCGUAAGUCUGUGGUGAAAGCCCGGAGCUCAACUCCGGGUCUGCCGCGGAUACUGCGAGGCUUGAGUGCUGUAGAGGGGGGUAGAAUGCCGGGUGUAGCGGUGGAAUGCGUAGAGAUCCGAUAGAAGACCGGUGGCGAAGGCGGCCUGCUGGGCAGUAACUGACACUGAGGCGCGACAGCGUGGGGAGCAAACAGG